AGGCGGCCCUAGCGCCAUUUUGUGGGAGCGAAGCGGUAGCUGGGCUGCUGCUGGAGCCGUCGCUGCUUCGGGUUCCCUGUCGGGCUUCCUAGCAGCGGCCUAACGGGAAAAUCAUUAAAGAUGUCUGAGUAUAUUCGGGUAACCGAAGACGAGAAUGACGAGCCCAUUGAAAUACCGUCAGAAGACGAUGGGACGGUGCUGCUGUCCACGGUUACAGCCCAGUUCCCAGGGGCCUGUGGGCUGCGCUACAGGAACCCCGUGUCUCAGUGUAUGAGAGGCGUCCGGCUCGUAGAAGGAAUUCUGCACGCCCCCGAGGCUGGCUGGGGAAAUCUGGUGUAUGUCGUCAACUAUCCCAAAGAUAACAAGAGAAAAAUGGACGAGACGGAUGCUUCUUCAGCAGUGAAAGUGAAGAGAGCGGUCCAGAAGACCUCUGAUUUAAUAGUGUUGGGCCUCCCGUGGAAAACCACCGAACAGGAUCUCAAAGAGUAUUUUAGUACCUUUGGAGAGGUUCUUAUGGUUCAGGUCAAGAAAGAUCUUAAAACUGGUCAUUCAAAGGGGUUUGGUUUUGUUCGUUUUACGGAAUAUGAAACCCAGGUGAAAGUAAUGUCACAGCGACAUAUGAUAGACGGACGGUGGUGUGACUGUAAACUGCCUAAUUCUAAGCAAAGCCCUGAUGAGCCUUUGAGAAGCAGGAAGGUGUUUGUCGGGCGCUGUACAGAGGACAUGACUGCUGACGAGCUGCAGCAGUUUUUCUGCCAGUACGGAGAAGUGGUAGACGUGUUCAUCCCCAAACCAUUCAGGGCCUUUGCCUUUGUUACCUUUGCAGAUGAUCAGGUUGCGCAGUCUCUUUGUGGAGAGGACUUGAUCAUUAAAGGAAUCAGCGUCCAUAUAUCCAAUGCUGAACCUAAGCACAAUAGCAAUAGACAGUUAGAAAGAAGUGGAAGAUUUGGUGGUAAUCCAGGUGGUUUUGGGAAUCAGGGUGGAUUUGGGAACAGUAGAGGGGGUGGAGCUGGUUUGGGAAACAAUCAAGGUAGUAACAUGGGUGGAGGGAUGAACUUUGGCGCUUUUAGCAUCAAUCCGGCCAUGAUGGCGGCAGCCCAGGCGGCCCUGCAGAGCAGCUGGGGCAUGAUGGGCAUGUUAGCCAGUCAGCAGAACCAGUCAGGCCCGUCAGGUAAUAACCAAAGCCAAGGCAACAUGCAGAGGGAGCCGAAUCAGGCCUUUGGCUCCGGAAAUAACUCCUACAGCGGUUCUAAUUCAGGUGCAGCGAUUGGCUGGGGAUCCACAUCAAAUGCUGGGUCCGGCAGCGGCUUCAAUGGAGGCUUUGGCUCCAGCAUGGAUUCUAAGUCUUCUGGCUGGGGGAUGUAGGCGGUGGGGGCGGUAUAGACUGGUGGGAAUUCAAAUUUUUCUAAACACAUGGUAAGUAUAUUGUAAAAUACAUAUGUACUGAGAAUUUUCAGAAUUGGUUUGUUCAGUGUGGAGUAUAUUCAGCAGUAUUUUUGACAUUUUUCUUUAGAAAAGAGAGGAAAAGCUAAAGGAAUUUUAUAAGUUUUGUUACAUAAAGGGUUGAAAUAUUGAGUGUUUGAAAGGGAACUGCUGUUUGCCUGAUUGGUAAAAAACAAAAAAACAAAAAAAAAACCCAACACACUACAAUUGAUAUCAAAAGGUUUCUCCUGUAACAUUUUAUCCCUGGACUUGUCAAGUGAAUUCUUUGCAUGUUCAAAAUGGAAACCAUUGAUUAGAGCUACAUUUUUUUCUCCCUGUUUUAAUUUGAACCCCACCAUAUGAAUUUUUUCCUUAGGAAAAUCUCCUGUUUGGAGAUCCUGGUGUCACAGUGUUUGUUUUCAUUUUUGUUUUUUAACACUUGUCUCCCUUCAUGUGCAAAAGUACAAUAUGAAGCCUUCGUUUAAUCUCUGCAGUUCAUCUCAUUUCAAAUGUUUAUGGAAGAAGCACUUCAUUGAAAGUAGUGCUGUAAAUACUGCGCCGUAGGAACACUGCCGUCUUCGUGCUCUCGCCCAGGCCUGCGUCCUCACGCCGCCCAGGCUGCGUCUCUGACGCCCUGAAUGCAAAGAAUUCAUAGCAGUUAAUUCCCCUUUUUUGACCCAUUUGAGAUGGAACUUUCAUAAAGUUUCUUGGCAAUAGUUUAUUUUGCUUCAAAUAAACUUAUUUGAAAAGUUGUCUCAAGUCAAAUGGACUCAUCACCUGUCAUGCAUUGACACCUGAUACCCAGACUUAAUUGCUAUCUGUUCUUGCAUUGUCCAAAGUGAAAAGUUUUUUUUUUUUCUUUUUAAAUCUAGUUUUUAAUAAGUCUGGGUGACCGCACCUAAAAUGGUAAGCAGUACCCUCCAGUAUUUUAUCAGUGCCUCUGUGCAUUUGGGUGAUGUUCUAUUUACAUGGCCUGUAUAAAUCGCCAUUGGGAAUCAUGCCUUCUUAAAAAUACUCUUAUUUGGGGAAGUGGGAAAAACAAUGUUGAUUAUUUUCAAAUGCUUUGUAGCAAAGCAUAGCAGUUGAAAAGAAGGGCAUAUCGGCACCUUUCUAGUCUGGGAUUUGAAAAGUGGAAUUAAUUGCAGGAGGGAUAAAGCAGAAGAAACCACAAGUGUGUCUUGUGCCUGAACGCCAUUACGAAGCCGGAUAGCUUUAAGAACCAGCAGGGUGGGUGGUCGGUCUGAAAGUGUUAAGUGAAAUGGGCUUUGUCCUCCACAGGUGGGCAGUAGAGUAAUGUUGAAUGAGACCGUUUACAAACUCAGACUAGACUCUCCCGGCGCAUUGUGCAGCGUGUAAAAGCAAUAAUCUACUGUUCUCGCUUGUACUUUUCAUGUACCUACUGCUGUGAGAGUUGAGCUUGUUUUCUGAUGGAAGAAUGUUAAUGUUUCUGUGUUGGUAGUUUACCUGAUGCCCUUAUCUAACUAGAUAAUAACUGGGUUUGUCUUUUGCAAGUUAUGCGUUUUAAGCUUUUAGAAACAAGUCCUUGAUAAACUUGUGAUCGCCAUGUUGUGCUCAGUUUCCUCUGUAAAAGGAUCUUGCGUUGUUUUGAUUUUUUUUUCUGCAUCUCAGUUGCAUGAUUUCCAAACCCUGUACCAUCUGAAUUUUGCAUUUUAGCACUUGCACUGCUCCUCAGCAGCAGUAACAUGGUAACACUUAAAAUGGUAUUCGGGGACCUCCAAAGACUAAACUGACAAGCCUCCAAGGAUCCCAGGGGUAAGUUCUCUUGUCGAUGGCAUGGUUUUCAUCCCUUCCUUGCACUUGUUGUGAAUCUAGUUUCUGGUCUGAGAAGGCCUUCAAUGUGCCGCAGCCUUCUGUUAACAUGUUUGUGGUACUAGUAGCUGUGGGUGAUUAAUUCUGCCCUUAAAGUAAACAAAUAAAAAGAACGAAAAUGAAGUCUAGAAGUAAAACUAUUUGGCAAAGGUUUGUUUUUAAAACUAAAAGUCUAUUUGGUCAUCUCAAUGCAUUCAUUCUUAAAACUUUUUUGAACCAGUUGAAUAAAAAAUUUGUUGCCACCACAGUUUAGUGUCUGGAGUCUUACUGGAAAAAUUCAAUUUCUUUUUUAUCUGGGACAAAGGUGAUGGACAGUUACUUCGAAAAAAGUCUCGAGAAUUUCCCCCUGUAAUAUGCCCAGGAGGAAUUAGGCAAAAACUCAGAAUGAUUUUUUUUUACAUGAGUGGUAAAUAUUUGACUAGAAUGAAACUCUUUGUUAAACGCUAGCUAUUAAACCUUUAAGGGGGAAUAGCCAGCCCAAAUGACAGGAGAUCCUUAAGGUUAGGUCCCCAAGGUUAAGUUGUGUCCUUGGGGAGAAUACCGUAACCGCUUGAUAAUUCGGAAGACGGAGGUGAUCAUUAGAAUAUGGUUCGUUGUUGACCGCCAGGGGGGCAGCUCUUAAGUGUGUGGGACUUCUGGGCUCUGCUCAGCUCUUGUGACUUGUGGUCUGUGGUCGAGGUGUGUUUCUUGUAAGGAGGGGAAAACACUACCGAUUUAUCUGACCUAUCGCCACUCAGUUCUAGUGUCGUGUUUCUUCUUGAGGAGUUGCCACAUUUGAUUCAGCUGUCUUCUGAAUUGGACCAGUAUUUAGGUUACUUCCAGGUGCCGGGACGUCCUCACAGUGGAAUUAAAUUCUUCGAGUUGGCAUUACUAGGGCAGAGACCGCGUGCUUGCGGGGCUUUUCAAGUAUAUUGCCAGGCUUCCUUUAGAAAACUUCUGUUGUCUUUGACAGUGUGCAAUAGUGUCCUUCUGUUUUUUGUUUUGUUUUGUUUUUGUCUACCAGUUUGAUAAGUGAAAAAUUCUGUCUCACCAAUUGAUGGUGUUGGUUUUGAACAUGGGAAUCAGUCAUUACCUGACCUAAAGUAUUGAUGUUUCCAUCUUAUCUACAAAGUCCCGCUUCAGGGUUAUCCCUGAGCGAGCGCUGUCGUACGUGCCUCCCUGUCAGCGGUCAGGGAGGGCAGGUCCCCAGCAAGGGAACAGCAGUCCGAGAACGUGCAGUGACGGGCAGUUUCUAGAAAUGCACGUGUCUGGUGCAGAAGAUAGUGGACUUCGUAGGUCAUUAAACGCAGAUCUAACCAGUGACUUUUCUGUUGCAUUGGCACAGAUGACGUCACCUAACUGUUGAUGUCCCCUGGAGCCCGACAGUAAGAAGCGGGAAGCCGGCAAGGGAGGGGGCCCGUCCCCGCGUCCUUCCCGGCCGCUCGGUUCGGGCUCGGGCUUUGGCGGUAGAGCAGCAACUGCCACAUUAUGUCUUUCGGGUCACGUUGCUGCCAAGAUCUUUUAUAGGGAGUUUUAAAAAUAAAGAAUCCUUUUCCAAUUGAAGACAUACAAUUUAAAAAUUAUUAAUUAUGUUCUUGAUCCAGGGAAUAUAGUUACUAACUUUUGUGUAGACCCCAUACUGAUUUGCUUCCCCACAGUUCAUGGAACCCCAGGACACUAUACCUCCCACAAACCACCUCUGUGUCUCAUUAUCCAGAAACACUAGUGCCCCUCCACUGUCCCCUCUGCAGCUGUCCUUGCCACCGCCUUCUAAGCCAGCGCAAAGCAUGUUCUCUGUCACCCUGACCCCCAGGUGGGCCUGCUGUUUGUACGCAGCGCUGCAUUUCUGCUGGUCGACGAUUGGUAAGUCCACAAACAUUAGAGUUCUGGCAAGAAAACCCCUUUGGGUCAGUCCCCAUCCGGACGCUGUUCCAAUGUCAUUUGUCCUCAUGAAGGAUUCAGCUGUGCUGCUUGGCAAACAGAUAGGCAGGAUGUUGCUAUUGAUGACAACUCUGUUCUUCAACUUAAUCAGUGCGAUGUCGUUAUCAAAACCAGCAUCGUGAGUGUAACCUUCGUGUAUGAAAAUGGCCUCGGCCCAGGCUUCCGGGUAAUGAGCUGGCAGUCUCUUCAGGGUCCCCAUUCUGAUGUCCAAGGAGGAGGCGUCUUCUCUCUGCUCGUACACCGCGUGCGCCGCUGUCAGGACCCAGCUGUCCUGCAGGAGCGCGCCCGCGGCCGUCGUUCGCCCUGACAGCAGGACCUGCCAGGGGAAGUCCCCAAGCUUGGCGGUUUGCCCUCCGUAGAUGCGUCCGCUUACGGCUCGAGUUGAUAUCCCACAAACUGGGGAAGGAAGCAGAUACAUAGAGCCUUUAUAGAAACCCAGUGGUGUUUUUCCCCACAAUUAUUCCCACUUUGGAAUCAUAGCUACUUAAUGUCAUCCAAAAACUACAGGUGAAUUGGUGGGUGUCCACCCAAACAUGCAAGUGAGGCUGCUUUAAAACGGCCCAGUUCAAAGACCUGAUAAAACUUUUUGGUAUUAGUAUUAGCUCCUCAGAAAAAGAAGUGCGUGGAAAUUAACCGUUAGAAAUGAAUUGGUUUUGCUAAAAUAAUUUGAUCUACACGAUUGGGAAUAUUAAUAGGGCAAGCAGGAAUUGUCUGAGCUGUUGUCCUGGGUGAUGUGAUUAGAAAUCUAGUGAAAGGAGAUAACCUUUUCAUUCCUUCUAUUUUCCUCCUUUUAAAAUGGGAUGUUUACCAUGUAGUUCUGGGAAAACAGGAACUCCAGUCACUGUCCCGGGAUUUGCAAAAUUAUUUUCGCCUUUGGACAUUUAAAUGUUUUACAAAUCAGAACAUCGGCAGGUGUAGCCAGGAACCUUCAGGUUCAGAAAUUACUAUUUUUGUCUAGUUGAUUCUUCCGAACUAAAUUUUCUUGUGUAUUGCUAACAAUAUGCUCAUUAAUGUAGCAAAUAUGUUUCCUGUUGUGGCAGAAUUAAAACGUGCAAAUGUUGUGUCAGCUAAGAUGUAGUUUUCUUUAAAAAAAAAAAAGACUCAUUUAAGCCAGAUAACACAGGAGUAAUUAAUACAUUAUUAUAUCUUUCUGAUUUUUUUUAGUCCCUGUAUUCAACUAUAUAUUUGAGCCAAGUCUGGUUAAGAAAUAAAAAUUUUUAAGUAGUAUUAAAAGGCGAAUUGCAUUAAUGUUUAAAAACUACGUAUCGUUGAAAACAGUUGCUUAGGGAAAUAAUGAAGUUAUUGGCUUUGGGUUUUCAUAGUUUUACAGAGAAGAAAAGUAACUAUAGCAGAACUCGUGUUUAUAAACAAAUGGUGGAAGAUAAUUUUUACGAUUCAUUUAAUUUUUUAUGCUUGCCUAGUUGUAAGGUCAAAAAAUGACUGACGCGCAGUCAGCACCUAGCAGCCCCUCCGCACGGAAAGGGAGUGAGAACGUAUUCUCUGGAAAUAAUAACUUGGCGUGAGAGCCACGCGCUGAGGUCCGUUUCUGCCCAGGGCCGCAGAGCCCCGCCCGCUGCCCCGCCCGCCGCCCGCUCUCCCUUCUUCCCGUCAGUCGCGAGUCCUGUAUAAAUGUAUCCAUUACCAGGCUCGCAGGCUGGGAGUGAUUUUUCUCCUUCGGAGCUCGUCCAGAAUCCAUCAGCCUCACACACAUAUUUACCUGCAAAUCAUUGGAAAAGCAAAACUGUUUAACUGCAUGUGGAAGGUGGCUGUCAUUUGCUUGAAUGCCCCCUUGAAGAAUGUUGAUUGUGGAGCGGCUUCGGGAAGUGGAGGUGUCUGAGUAACCAUUUUACAUGAUUUCACAAAUAGGAGGUCUCUGCAUUAACCGUGUUUGCUGGCAAAGUGGAAACCUUUUAGAUGUGUAACUUGAAUAUGUAUCAAGAUCUCAAGUGCUUAAUGAUAAGGUUUUGACUUGUUAAAUUAAACCAUCUGGAAUAUA